rnacentral:piRNA from 1 species
UAGACUGGGCUGUCUCUGUCUGCAGAAACACU